AAACAAAAGCAAGGUACUGAAAAUACCUAGACGAGUAUAUCCAACUCCAUAAACA
rnacentral:tRNA from 2 species